rnacentral:rRNA from 1 species
GAUGAACGCUGGCGGCGUGCCUAACACAUGCAAGUCGAGCGGAAAUAUCGGAAGUACUUGUACGGAAGAUAUUUUAGCGGCGGACGGGUGAGUAAUACGUGAGUAACCUGCCUUCGGCAGUGGAAUAACAUUGUGAAAACAGUGCUAAUACCGCAUAACGUCAUUGACCGGCAUCGGUUGAUGACCAAAGGAGAAAUCCGGCAGAAGAUGGACUCGCGUCCGAUUAGCUAGUUGGCGGGGUAAAGGCCCACCAAGGCGACGAUCGGUAGCCGAACUGAGAGGUUGAUCGGCCACAUUGGGACUGAGACACGGCCCAGACACCUACGGGUGGCAG